GACUCACAGCUGGUGUGGAGGCUGCUGACAGACUGGAAGCCCAGGCCAUCCUUGCUAACUGCGGAGGAGCUGCUGGCGUUGGUGCCCCAGCUAACUAUUAGGUAACAGAGAUAUGAGGAGGACAAACUCAUACUCCCUGGCUAUGAGAAGCUCAUCAUCCAUCUGUGGCAAGGGACAGAGAAAGGGGAGUUCCUACAUGUGGGCACAGGGCAGGAGCUCACUCAAAGCUUGAUGAGUGAAUCAUGAGCCAAGGAGCACAUACUUUUCAGGCCACAACACACAUUAGCAAAAUUAUCUGAUCUCAGCCUCUAUCUCAUCAGGGAGGUAAGUACGUAAGAACUCUUAUCUUUAUCACAGUCUUACAGAUGAGCAGAAAGUAAAGUUGCCCAUUCUCUGUCCCAACUACCUCACCUCAGUUUCCUUCCUCUAAACACUUUCAGUACAUUCAUUCCACCAGAAUUUACUCCAGGCCUGCUGUCUCUCAGGCACCAAGGAGGGUCAGCGAAUCCGGGGAUCAGACUGAUUUCCCACCCAUCAUGGAGCUUACAAUCCAGUGAAACAGGCAGGGAUUUAAUAAAUAAAAACAAACAAGCAGGUAACUGUAGAUUAUGAAGACUAUUAUAAAGAAAAGAACAAAAAGUCUGAGAAAGAAAUAUAGACAGUGACCUAAUUUAGAUGACAAUGAUGGGGGUAGGGGACAGUGGUCAGUUCAAAAAGAAGUACCCUAAAGAAUGAGAAAAAACUUACUUAGCAAAAGAAAAGUUCGAGGCAGAGCAUGGCAGGGAGAGGGAAGUGCAUGUGUAAAGGCCCUGAGGCAGGAAAGAACUUGGCUUUGGAACAUUCACUUAACAAAUAUUUAUUGGGUGCCACUACGUGCCAGGAAAGCUUAUUUGCACUAGGAAUACUGCAGUCAACAAGUAUAAAUCAUUAACCUCAUGGAGCUUACAUUCAAGAACAUUUUAACAUAUACUAAUAUGCUCUAAGAGGUACUGAAAACUCAGCAUAUGCCACAUCCUGGGUUACUGCGUUAUUUCUUCUUUUAAUGUUCCCAUACUUAUUUCCCCCCAAUCAAAUUGUAACGAUGCUGAUAGUAGGAUAACUACAAUUUACUGAGCACUUACUAUGUGCCAGGCACUAAGCUAAAGUGCUUGACAUGUAUCAUUAAGUUUAAUCCUUAUCAAAAACCUAUGAGGAAAUUACAGUUCAUAGUCUCAAUUUUACAUGACAAAACUGAGGCACAGAGUGAAAAGAAAAUUUCCCAGCAUACUGAGGAUGCAGGGAUUUCAGGGACUCUAACUGUGGAGCCCAUGUUUUAACCACCAUGCCACACUACCCUCCCUGAAGUUAAGCCCAGGGAUAUGAGACAUUUGUGCAUACUCAGUAGCACCUAAUAUCCAUACCCAGCAGAUUCUCCUUCCAUACUGGCAGGCUCCCCAACCCCAGGGGAAGAGCAGCUCUUGCCUAGCCUCUGGGUGAGACUCGUAGAACUCCAAUUUCAUCAAUGGCAGAGACAGAACACGCGUCCCUGGGCUAAGAAUGUGGUUUGAUUUUCUCUCUCUAGAAAGAGCAAUCAUCCGGCCAUCACAUCUCCCUAGCUUGGUCCAGGGUGGUUGCCUUCCCAGCUCUACUCUGAAUCCUUCAUAAGCUACGUGCUGGACCAUAUGGUGGCACCUGUCGGGAUUAAAAAAUGAGUAAGUCCAAGCCUCUCUGUUCCCAGCACUCACAAUAGCGGGGCCAGCCAGCAGGACAUCCACAUGGGAUGCACGAAGAGUUCUAUCCUGUCUUCCCCUCCAUGCCUCUGCCAGUUGUUCCCAUCUCAUUGGUAUUUUCUUUCUGAAGGGUUUUCUUACUGCCUGUUCUUGAAAGCCGAUAUAGUCAUCUGAGUGGGAAGGUGAGGAAAGAUGCCACGAACAAGGGACUUCAGAAGGGAGGCCAGUCUUCUGAGAGCAAGAGGUGAGGCCUGAGGAGCCGGAAGCUUGGCAUGAUGUGGGGAGGAGUGUGGGCUUUGGGUCUGACAGAUCUGGGUUCAGAUGCUGGGUGCUGCCACUCACUGGCUGUGCAUGACCUUCGAGGACACUGCCUCACUUCUCUGAACUUAUUACCUCAUGUAUAAAACACAGAUGAUAGUAGGUCUCUUGUAAGAGACCUAAAUUGGUGGUGGACUCAAUCAGCUCAGUGUGGGGGGCGCUCACUAAACAGUGGUUCUUUUCAUAACCAACUUUCCUGCCUCUGAAAAUCCUCAGCACUCUAUUGUCUGUCUUUAGCAUUUAUCCCACUUUCGUCUUGCAUUCGGGAGAGCAGGUACUUGUCUCUUCUGCUACUGGGUCACAGGCCUUUGGAAGGCAGGGAUGUUCCCUCCUUGUGCCAUAUCCCCUGCAGACCUAGAUGCUGAGCUGGCUCAAGUUCGAGCCCCAGUGACCAUGGAGAUAAUUAUUGGCAUCAACACCAUCACCUGCCAGUCAUCCUGCUAGGCACUGUGUCCAUCUACAUACAUCCUGAACUCAUUUGAUCUCAGGCUGUGUUAUUAUCCACAUUUUACACAUCAGGAAAAUAUAAGGUGGAAGGGGAAAAGUAACGUACUCAGUGAGUGAGUAGAAGGGGGCACCCCUUCUCACCCCCAGCCAAACCCCAUCCCUACAUCCAUACCAACAUCUAGAGAGUUCUAGGGUCAUUCAAGGCCACACAGGACAGGAAUCCUUGCCACAUAAUUCUGAAUUUUAUUUCCCUGAGUAACAACAACAGAAAAAAUGACAUGGAAUAAUCGUUUUCCUCCGUAUGUUAUUAAACAUUUAACGGGCAUCGAAAAUGAGAGGAAAUCUUGCUGUGUGCAUCUUUGCUCCUCGGCACCUGUGAUGGUGACUUCCAUAGAAGUGAGAGAAAACACUGAAUGUAUAGAUGAAUAUGUGAGGGAGUCACUCUGCCACCAACACCUAUCCUCAAAAUAAAAUACUGCAAAAUAAGA